rnacentral:rRNA from 1 species
CCAGACUCCUACGGGAGGCAGCAGUGGGGAAUAUUGGACAAUGGGGGGAACCCUGAUCCAGCGACGCCGCGUGAGUGAAGAAGUAUCUCGGUAUGUAAAGCUCUAUCAGCAGGGAAGAAAGAAAUGACGGUACCUGACUAAGAAGCCCCGGCUAACUACGUGCCAGCAGCCGCGGUAAUACGUAGGGGGCAAGCGUUAUCCGGAAUCACUGGGUGUAAAGGGAGCGUAGACGGCUGAGCAAGCCUGAAGUGAAAGGCGGGGGCCCAACCCCCGGACUGCUUUGGGAACUGUACGGCUGGAGUGCAGGAGAGGUAAGUGGAAUUCCUAGUGUAGCGGUGAAAUGCGUAGAUAUUAGGAGGAACACCAGUGGCGAAGGCGGCCUGCUGGGCUUUUACUGACGCUGAGGCUCGAAAGUGUGGGGAGCAAACAGGAUUAGAUACCCGAGUA